rnacentral:rRNA from 1 species
AUACGUAGGGUGCGAGCGUUGUCCGGAAUUACUGGGCGUAAAGAGCUCGUAGGUGGUUUGUCGCGUCGUCUGUGAAAUUCCGGGGCUUAACUCCGGGCGUGCAGGCGAUACGGGCAUAACUUGAGUACUGUAGGGGAGACUGGAAUUCCUGGUGUAGCGGGGAACUGCGCAGAUAUCAGGAGGAACACCGGUGGCGAAGGGGGGUCUCUGGGCAGUAACUGACGCUGAGGAGCGAAAGCAUGGGUAGCGAACAGGAUUAGAUACCCUGGUAGUCCAUGCCGUAAACGGUGGGCGCUAGGUGUAGGGGUCUUCCACGAUUUCUGUGCCGUAGCUAACGCAUUAAGGGCCCCGCCUGGGGAGUACGGCCGCAAGGCUAAAACUUAAAGGAAUUGACGGGG